rnacentral:rRNA from 1 species
UAGGGAAUCUUCGGCAAUGGACGAAAGUCUGACCGAGCAACGCCGCGUGAGUGAAGAAGGUUUUCGGAUCGUAAAACUCUGUUGUUAGAGAAGAACAAGGACGUUAGUAACUGAACGUCACCUGACGGUAUCUAACCAGAAAGCCACGGCUAACUACGUGCCAGCAGCCGCGGUAAUACGUAGGUGGCAAGCGUUGUCCGGAUUUAUUGGGCGUAAAGCGAGCGCAGGCGGUUUCUUAAGUCUGAUGUGAAAGCCCCCGGCUCAACCGGGGAGGGUCAUUGGAAACUGGGAUACUUGAGUGCAGAAGAGGAGAGUGGAAUUCCAUGUGUAGCGGUGAAAUGCGUAGAUAUAUGAAGGAACACCAGUGGCGAAGGCGGCUCUCUGGUCUGUAACUGACGCUGAGGCUCGAAAGCGUGGGGAGCAAACAGG